UAAGGGAUAUUGCGCAAUGGGCGAAAGCCUGACGCAGCAACGCCGCGUGGAGGAUGAAGGGUUUCGGCUCGUAAACUCCUUUGGACGGGGACGAGGAAGGACGGUACCCGUCGAACAAGUCACGGCUAACUACGUGCCAGCAGCCGCGGUAAAACGUAGGUGGCGAGCGUUAUCCGGAUUGACUGGGCGUAAAGGGUGUGCAGGCGGCUCCUCAAGUGGUGUAUGAAAUCUCCUCGCUCAACGGGGAGGGGUUAUGCCAGACUGGGGAGCUAGAGCGUGGGAGAGGGUGGUGGAAUUCCGGGUGUAGUGGUGAAAUGCGUAGAGAUCCGGAGGAACCCCAGAGGCGAAGGCGGCCACCUGGCCCACGACUGACGCUCAGACACGACAGCAUGGGGAGCGAACGGGAUUAGAUACCCCCGUAGUCC
rnacentral:rRNA from 1 species